rnacentral:rRNA from 1 species
GGACCAAGGAGUCUAGCAUGUGCGCGAGUCAUUGGGAUAUUUACGAAACCUAAAGGCGUAAUGAAAGUGAAGGUUCGCCUUGCGCGAACCGAGGGAGGAUGGACUGUUCCGAGGAAUGGUCUCGCACUCCCGGGGCGUCUCGCUCUCAUCGCGAGAAGAGGCGCACCCAGAGCGUACACGCUGGGACCCGAAAGAUGGUGAACUAUGCCUGGUCAGGACGAAGUCAGGGGAAACCCUGAUGGAGGUCCGUANCGAUUCUGACGUGCAAAUCGAUCGUCGGAACUGGGUAUAGGGGCGAAAGACUAAUCGAACCAUCUAGUAGCUGGUUCCCUCCGAAGUUUCCCUCAGGAUAGCUGGCGCUCGCUUCUCGCGAGUCUCAUUCGGUAAAGCGAAUGAUUAGAGGCAUUGGGGUCGAAACGGCCUCAACCUAUUCUCAAACUUUAAAUGGGUGAGAUCUCCGGCUUGCUUGAACUAUGAAGCCGCGAGAUAUCGGAUCAGAGUGCCAAGUGGGCCACUUUUGGUAAGCAGAACUGGCGCUGUGGGAUGAACCAAACGCUGAGUUAAAGCGCCUAAAUCGACGCUUAUGGGAUACCAUGAAAGGCGUUGGUAACUUAAGACAGCAGGACGGUGGCCAUGGAA